AGUGAACGCUGGCGGUAGGCCUAACACAUGCAAGUCGAACGGCAGCACAGUAAGAGCUUGCUCUUACGGGUGGCGAGUGGCGGACGGGUGAGGAAUACAUCGGAAUCUACUUUUUCGUGGGGGAUAACGUAGGGAAACUUACGCUAAUACCGCAUACGACCUACGGGUGAAAGCAGGGGAUCUUCGGACCUUGCGCGAUUGAAUGAGCCGAUGUCGGAUUAGCUAGUUGGCGGGGUAAAGGCCCACCAAGGCGACGAUCCGUAGCUGGUCUGAGAGGAUGAUCGGCCACACUGGAACUGAGACACGGUCCAGACUCCUACGGGAGGCAGCAGUGGGGAAUAUUGGACAAUGGGCGCAAGCCUGAUCCAGCCAUACCGCGUGGGUGAAGAAGGCCUUCGGGUUAUAAAGCCCUUUUGUUGGGAAAGAAAAGCAGCAGGUUAAUACCCCGCUGUUCUGACGGUACCCAAAGAAUAAGCACCGGCUAACUUCGUG
rnacentral:rRNA from 1 species